rnacentral:misc_RNA from 1 species
UCUUUUUUUCCGAUUGCCUCAUUUUUUAGUCAAAACAUUUAGGGCUCAGAUUUUGCUGUAUAUGAAUAUGCAAAGAGAAAGCAACACAUGCCAUGGCUGCAAGACACAGCUUUGCAUAUGGAUGCCAUACCAUGUCGCCACGCCAAAGAUACGGAUUGGAUUUUCUCAACGCAAUAAAGUAGAUUAUAGUUCAGAAAGAAGUUACCCAUCAUCACAGCCCAUUUUUUUUCAGUUUUUGCACGGAUUGGAUUUUCUCAACGCAAUAAAGUAGAUUAUAGUUCAGAAAGAAGUUACCCAUCAUCACAGCCCAUUUUUUUUCAGUUUUUGC